AGAGUUUGAUCAUGGCUCAGAUUGAACGCUGGCGGCAGGCCUAACACAUGCAAGUCGAGCGGUAACAUUUCUAGCUUGCUAGAAGAUGACGAGCGGCGGACGGGUGAGUAAUGCUUGGGAAUAUGCCUUAGGGUGGGGGACAACAGUUGGAAACGACUGCUAAUACCGCAUAACGUCUACGGACCAAAGGGGGCUUCGGCUCUCGCCCUUAGAUUAGCCCAAGUGGGAUUAGCUAGUUGGUGAGGUAAUGGCUCACCAAGGCGACGAUCCUUAGCUGGUUUGAGAGGAUGAUCAGCCACACUGGAACUGAGACACGGUCCAGACUCCUACGGGAGGCAGCAGUGGGGAAUAUUGCACAAUGGGCGCAAGCCUGAUGCAGCCAUGCCGCGUGUGUGAAGAAGGCCUUAGGGUUGUAAAGCACUUUCAGUAAGGAGGAAAGGUUAGUAGUUAAUACCUGCUAGCUGUGACGUUACUUACAGAAGAAGCACCGGCUAACUCCGUGCCAGCAGCCGCGGUAAUACGGAGGGUGCGAGCGUUAAUCGGAAUUACUGGGCGUAAAGCGUACGCAGGCGGUUUGUUAAGCGAGAUGUGAAAGCCCCGGGCUCAACCUGGGAACUGCAUUUCGAACUGGCAAACUAGAGUAUGAUAGAGGGUGGUAGAAUUUCAGGUGUAGCGGUGAAAUGCGUAGAGAUCUGAAGGAAUACCGAUGGCGAAGGCAGCCACCUGGGUCAAUACUGACGCUCAUGUACGAAAGCGUGGGGAGCAAACGGGAUUAGAUACCCCGGUAGUCCACGCCGUAAAC
rnacentral:rRNA from 1 species